AUUUAUAUAAUAUAAAAAGUAUAUAUGACUUCCAAUCAUAAAGUCUAAAAUUUAGUAUAAAUA
rnacentral:tRNA from 1 species